rnacentral:rRNA from 1 species
UACGAAGGGGGCUAGCGUUGCUCGGAAUCACUGGGCGUAAAGCGCACGUAGGCGGAUCUUUAAGUCAGGGGUGAAAUCCUGGAGCUCAACUCCAGAACUGCCUUUGAUACUGGGAUCUCGAGUCCGGGAGAGGUGAGUGGAACUGCGAGUGUAGAGGUGAAAUUCGUAGAUAUUCGCAAGAACACCAGUGGCGAAGGCGGCUCACUUGGCCCGGAACUGACGCUGAGGUGCGAAAGCGUGGGAGCAACAGG